rnacentral:rRNA from 1 species
UACGGAGGAUGCGAUCGUUAUCCGGAUUUAUUGGGUUUAAAGGGUGCGUAGGCGGACUGUCAAGUCAGCGGUAAAAUUGAGAGGCUCAACCUCUUCCCGCCGUUGAAACUGGUGGUCUUGAGUGGAUGAGAAGUACGCGGAAUGCGUGGUGUAGCGGUGAAAUGCAUAGAUAUCACGCAGAACUCCGAUUGCGAAGGCAGCGUACCGGCAUCCAACUGACGCUGAGGCACGAAAGCGUGGGGAUCAAACAGG